rnacentral:rRNA from 2 species
AUCUAAGUACCCCGAGGAAAAGAAAUCAACCGAGAUUCCCCCAGUAGCGGCGAGCGAACGGGGAGGAGCCCAGAGCCUGAAUCAGCAUGUGUGUUAGUGGAAGCGUCUGGAAAGGCGCGCGAUACAGGGUGACAGCCCCGUACACAAAAGCGCAUGUGCUGUGAGCUCGAUGAGUAGGGCGGGACACGUGGUAUCCUGUCUGAAUAUGGGGGGACCAUCCUCCAAGGCUAAAUACUCCUGACUGACCGAUAGUGAACCAGUACCGUGAGGGAAAGGCGAAAAGAACCCCGGCGAGGGGAGUGAAAAAGAACCUGAAACCGUGUACGUACAAGCAGUGGGAGCACCCUUCGGGGUGUGACUGCGUACCUUUUGUAUAAUGGGUCAGCGACUUAUAUUCUGUAGCAAGGUUAACCG